UAUACUUUUUGACAUGGUUUUGUAAAAAUUGGAUAAAAAUGGUUCUGAUGCAUGGAAUUUCAUGAUUUCUUCAAUGGAAGCUUAAGAACACUCCAAAGAAUCUUAUAAAGCAAAAAUCAACCCGAUCUGAGCACUAGAAGUGGAGUUAUGACCCAAGUUACCUGAGACUGUCUAUAUUUUUGGACAUGUUUUCCAAAAAAUUGGAUAAAAAUGGUUCUAGUGCAUGGAAUUUCAUGAUUUCUUCAAUGAAAGCUUAAGAACACUCCAAAGAAUCUUUUAAAGCAAAAAUCAACUCGUUCUGAGCACUAGAAGUGAAGUUAUGAUCCAAGUUACCUCAGACUGUCUUUCCUCUUGGACAUGUUUUCCAAAAAAUUGGAUAAAAAUGGUUCUGGUGCAUGGAAUUUCAUGAUUUCUUUAAUGAAAGCUUAAGAACAUUCCAAAGAAUCUUUUAAAGCAAAAAUCAACCCGAUCUGAGCACUAGAAGUGGAGUUAUGACCCAAGUUACCUGAAACUGUCUAUACUUUUGGACAUGGUUUUGAAAAAAUUGGAUAAAAAUGGUUCUGAUGCAUGGAAUUUCAUGAUUUCUUCAAUGGAACCUUAAGAAUGCUUCAAAGAAUCUUUUAAAGCAAAAAUUAUCUCGAUCUGAGCACUAGAAGUGGAGUUAUGAUCCAAGUUACCUCAGACUGUCUUUCCUCUUGGACAUGUUUUCCAAAAAAUUGGAUAAAAAUGGUUCUGGUGCAUGGAAUUUCAUGAUUUCUUUAAUGAAAGCUUAAGAACAUUCCAAAGAAUCUUUUAAAGCAAAAAUCAACCCGAUCUGAGCACUAGAAGUGGAGUUAUGACCCAAGUUACCUCAGACUGUCUAUAUUUUUGGACAUGUUUUCCAAAAAAUUGGAUAAAAAUGGUUCUAGUGCAUGGAAUUUCAUGAUUUCUUCAAUGGAAGCUUAAGAACACUCUAAAGAAUCUUUUAAAGCAAAAAUCAACUCGAUCUGAGCACUAGAAGUGGAGUUAUGACCCAAGUUACCUCAGACUGUCUUUCCUCUUGGACAUGUUUUCAAAAAAAUUGGAUAAAAAUGGUUCUAAUGCAUCGAUUUCCAUGAUUUCUUCAAUGGAAGCUUAAGAACACUCCAAAGAAUCCUUUAAAGCAAAAAUCAACUCGAUCUGAGCACUAGAAGCGGAGUUAUGACCCAAGUUACCUGAAACUGUCUAUACUUUUGGACAUGGUUUUGAAAAAAUUGGAUAAAAAUGGUUCUGGUGCAUGGAAUUUCAUGAUUUCUUCAAUGGAAGCUUAAGAAUGCUUCAAAGAAUCUUUUAAAGUAAAAAUCAACCCGAUCUGAGCAUUAGAAGUGGAGUUAUGACCCAAGUUACAUGAAACUGUCUUUCCUAUAGGACACGGUUUUGAAAAAAUUGGAUAAACAUGGUUCUGAUGUAUGGAAUUUCACGAUUUCUUCAAUGAAAGCUUAAGAACACUCCAAAGAAUCUUUUAAAACAAAAAUCAAUUCGAUCUGAGCACUAGAACUGGAGUUAUGAGCCAAGUUACCUCAGACUGUCUUUCCUCUUGGACAUGUUUUCCAAAAAAUUGGAUAAAAAUGGUUCUGAUCCAUGGAAUUUCAUGAUUUCUUCAAUGAAAGCUUAAGAAUACUCCAAAGAAUCUUUUAAGGCAAAAAUCAACUCGAUCUGAGCACUAGAAGCGGAGUUAUGACCCAAGUUACCUGAAACUGUCUAUACUUUUGGACAUGGUUUUGAAAAAAUUGGAUAAAAAUGGUUCUGGUGCAUGGAAUUUCAUGAUUUCUUCAAUGGAAGCUUAAGAACACUCCAAAGAAUCUUUUAAAGCAAAAAUCAACCCGAUCUGAGCACUAGAAGUGGAGUUAUGACCCAAGUUACCUGAAACCAUCCCUCUCCAACCCUUUCAACUUCUAACCUCCAAUACGCACUUAAAGACUCUUUAUAGACCAAUAAGAGGGCGA
rnacentral:lncRNA from 1 species